GCUCUGGAAGCCCGCUUCGGACACGGCCUAAGCUUACAAUGAGCACGCGCGCGCGCGAGAUGACAUGUUUGGCUCGCGUUGUCGGGAUUGUUUGUAUAUGACUUAAUUCACAGGAGGCUGUGCUUCUACUCAAGGUGGAUCAGCAUUUGGGGAUGGCAGCUGAAACCUUAACUAGAAGAGAUUGACUGGCUGAAAAAUAGUUUCCCUAGUUUCAGCAGUGACAGAGAGACAAGAAGAAGCUAGUCCCUGGACAAAGUUUUCUGAAGUGUGACAGAUCAGAGGUAUCAUAUCACUGGGGACAAUACUUGACAGUUGUAGCAUUGAUGAAGAGACAAGACUAGACCCCUGGGAGACGGUUUUCUGGAUUGUAACACUUCACCAGAUAUUUGUUACCGCCAACACUACUCACUU
rnacentral:lncRNA from 1 species